rnacentral:rRNA from 1 species
CCCUUAGAUGUUCUGGGCUGCACGCGCGCUACACUGAAGCGUUCAACGAGUAUUUCACCUUGCCCGGGAGGGUUGGGUAAUCUUUUUAAAACGCUUCGUGAUGGGGAUAGAUUAUUGCAAUUAUUAAUCUUCAACGAGGAAUUCCUAGUAAGCGCGAGUCAUCAGCUCGUGCUGAUUACGUCCCUGCCCUUUGUACACACCGCCCGUCGCUCCUACCGAUUGAGUGCUCAGGUGAAUAAUUCGGACUGCAGCAAUGUUCGGAUCCCGAACGUUGCAGCGGAAAGUUUAGUGAACCUUAUCACUUAGAGGAAGGAGAAGUCGUAACA